rnacentral:rRNA from 1 species
AACGAACGCUGGCGGCAGGCCUAACACAUGCAAGUCGAGCGAGGACUUCGGUUCUAGCGGCGGACGGGUGAGUAACGCGUGGGAAUGUGCCCUUCUCUACGGAAUAGCCCUGGGAAACUGGGAGUAAUACCGUAUACGCCCUAUUGGGGAAAGAUUUAUCGGAGAAGGAUCAGCCCGCGUUGGAUUAGGUAGUUGGUGGGGUAAUCGCCUACCAAGCCGACGAUCCAUAGCUGGUUUGAGAGGAUGAUCAGCCACACUGGGACUGAGACACGGCCCAGACUCCUACGGGAGGCAGCAGUGGGGAAUCUUAGACAAUGGGGGCAACCCUGAUCUAGCCAUGCCGCGUGAGUGAUGAAGGCCUUAGGGUUGUAAAGCUCUUUCAGCUGGGAAGAUAAUGACGGUACCAGCAGAAGAAGCCCCGGCUAACUCCGUG